GAAAAGUAGAAACAAUAUAUCCUCUCCGUUCCGGCACCGCCUGAGGUGAGAAGAGACGCUCAUGGCUAUAGCGAUGGCCACCGCGGAAGACGACUCAAUCGAUUUCUUGUCAGAUCCAGUUGACAGAUUUCCCUUGCCGGAUCUCGCCUGCGGAGACCCAUUUGUGACCGCCGGAAUCACCAAAACUCUCGUAUGUGCGACUGCUGAGUCCAGCGUAGGAGAUGCUGGAGAGGCGGCAGUCACCGUACAAUUAGAUUUGAACAGCGCUUGCGAUGGAGUGGCCCUGUCCGCACCAACCUCCCAGCAAUCUUCACACAAAGACGACUCUACAGCCCCUCGAUGGACACGAAGGCGCCCUUGGAGCCACAAAUCAGCAUGAGCAGCAGCUUCGGUUCUUUGCAAGUUCAGAUUAUUUCGCCAUCGACGUCGACCCAGAGCAUCAAGCUUUCCCCCAUGCAUCUUCUUUGAUUGAGAUACGUACUAAUCCUCUUUCCAUUGAUGAUCUCCCACUCGGCCACCUUGGACUGAAAUGGUUGCAGAUCUAAAAGAGUUGACUCUUACCUACAGGCUUCAGUUCACGGCAGGGCUGAUGGAUCCUCACUGGCAGACGAAGAUGUUGAAGAAGAACCUCAAGUCCAAUCCCGUCUUUCCGCUGUGGAAGAGGUGGCUACGUAUGAUCCAGAAGAUCAUACCUUCGACGACGGUGACAACAGCACUCAGACGGACAGCGCCUGCGAAUCAACGACCAAAGUAGCAUCAACGACGUCGGCAACGAGCCAAACCCAGCGAAGCGCGCUAGGCUUCAUGACUAAUGUUUUGGGCCGACUAUCAGAUCAGACAAGCUGGGAUUAUAUUCCAGUUUAGAGCUAAUAUCAGUUGGUUAAUGGGUUAGUGUGGAAUAAUAAAACGGAAAAGCUAAAAUCCUGCCGGCAGGAUUUUUGCAACAUAUCCGCACGAUUCGGUUGCCGUUCGAUCCGAUCGCGCAGCGUCGCUCCUCCCGUUUUGCCUCGCGUGCUGCGUUUUUUUCUUUUUCUGCUGCCGUUAUUUUCGCUGCCGUCCGAACGCAGGAUGUAGGAUUCGAACCCAGCACCUCUUGUGUUUAUGCACAGCAUC